AGAGUUUGAUCCUGGCUCAGGAUGAACGCUGACAGAAUGCUUAACACAUGCAAGUCAACUUGAACUUCGGUUUGGGUGGCGGACGGGUGAGUAACGCGUAAAGAACUUGCCUCACAGAUAGGGACAACAUUUGGAAACGAAUGCUAAUACCUGAUAUUAUGAUUUUAGGGCAUCCUAGAAUUAUGAAAGCUAUAUGCGCUGUGAGAGAGCUUUGCGUCCCAUUAGCUAGUUGGAGAGGUAACGGCUCACCAAGGCGAUGAUGGGUAGCCGGCCUGAGAGGGUGAUCGGCCACAAGGGGACUGAGACACGGCCCUUACUCCUACGGGAGGCAGCAGUGGGGAAUAUUGGACAAUGGACCAAGAGUCUGAUCCAGCAAUUCUGUGUGCACGAUGAAGUUUUUCGGAAUGUAAAGUGCUUUCAGUUGGGAAGAAAAAAAUGACGGUACCAACAGAAGAAGUGACGGCUAAAUACGUGCCAGCAGCCGCGGUAAUACGUAUGUCACAAGCGUUAUCCGGAUUUAUUGGGCGUAAAGCGCGUCUAGGUGGUUAUGUAAGUCUGAUGUGAAAAUGCAGGGCUCAACUCUGUAUUGCGUUGGAAACUGUGUAACUAGAGUACUGGAGAGGUAAGCGGAACUACAAGUGUAGAGGUGAAAUUCGUAGAUAUUUGUAGGAAUGCCGAUGGGGAAGCCAGCUUACUGGACAGAUACUGACGCUGAAGCGCGAAAGCGUGGGUAGCAAACAGGAUUAGAUACCCUGGUAGUCCACGCCGUAAACGAUGAGUGCUAAGU
rnacentral:rRNA from 1 species